rnacentral:rRNA from 1 species
GACGAACGCUGGCGGCGUGCUUAACACAUGCAAGUCGAGCGGAGCGGCGAACGGGUGAGUAACGCGUGAGUAACUGCCCCCCUCUCUGGGAUCACAGUUGGAAAGGGCUGCUAAUACCGGAUAGUGGUGGUGGAGUCGCGUUUUAUCAGCGUGUUGGUGGGGUAGUGGCCUACCAAUGCGACGACGGGUAGCCGGCCUGAGAGGGCGACCGGGCACAUUGGGCUGAGAUACGGCCCAAACUCCUACGGGCGGCAGCAGUCGAGAAUAUUGCCCAAUCGGGGAAACCCUGAUGCAGCAACGCGCGUGCGGGAUGACGUCCUUCGAGUUGUAAACCGCUUUCAUACUUAACGCGGUAGUGGCAGAAGAAGCCCCGGCUAACUACGUGCCAGCAGCCGCGGUAAUUC